rnacentral:rRNA from 1 species
CACGUAGGGUGCAAGCGUUGUCCGGAAUUAUUGGGCGGAAAGAGCUUGUAGGCGGUUUGUCGCGUCUGCUGUGAAAUUUCGGGGCUCAACCCCGAACUUGCAGUGGGUACGGGCAGACUAGAGUGUGGUAGGGGAGACUGGAAUUCCUGGUGUAGCGGUGAAAUGCGCAGAUAUCAGGAAGAACACCAAUGGCGAAGGCAGCUCUCUGGGACGGUACUGACGCUGAGACGCGAAAGCGUGGGGAGCGAACAGG